AACGAACGCUGGCGGCAUGCCUAACACAUGCAAGUCGAACGAGACCUUCGGGUCUAGUGGCGCACGGGUGCGUAACGCGUGGGAACCUGCCCUUAGGUUCGGAAUAACUCCCCGAAAGGGGUGCUAAUACCGGAUAAUGUCUUCGGACCAAAGAUUUAUCGCCUUUGGAUGGGCCCGCGUUGGAUUAGCUAGUUGGUAGGGUAAAAGCCUACCAAGGCGACGAUCCAUAGCUGGUCUGAGAGGAUGAUCAGCCACACUGGGACUGAGACACGGCCCAGACUCCUACGGGAGGCAGCAGUGGGGAAUAUUGGACAAUGGGCGAAAGCCUGAUCCAGCAAUGCCGCGUAAGUGAUGAAGGCCUUAGGGUUGUAAAGCUCUUUUACCCGGGAUGAUAAUGAUAGUACCGGGAGAAUAAGCUCCGGCUAACUCCGUG
rnacentral:rRNA from 1 species